AUACGGAGGAUCCGAGCGUUAUCCGGAUUUAUUGGGUUUAAAGGGUGCGCAGGCGGCCAUUUAAGUCAGCGGUUAAAUCGUGGGGCUCAACCCCAUUCUGCCGUUGAUACUGGGUGGCUUGAUUGCGGUCGAGGUUGGCGGAAUUCGUUGUGUAGCGGUGAAAUGCAUAGAUAUGACGAAGAACACCGAUUGCGUAGGCAGCUGACCAGACCGCAAAUGACGCUCAUGCACGAAAGUGCGGGGAUCGAACAGGAUUAGAAACCCUGGUAGUCCGCACAGUAAACGAUGAAUACUUGUUUUCGGCGAUAUAAUGUCGGAGGCAAAGCGAAAGCGAUAAGUAUUCCACCUGGGGAGUACGCCGGCAACGGUGAA
rnacentral:rRNA from 1 species